GGAUCCAGACUUUGAUCAUGGCUCAGGAUGAACGCUAGCUACAGGCUUAACACAUGCAAGUCGAGGGGCAGCGGUAUCGAAAGCUUGCUUUCGGUAGCCGGCGACCGGCGCACGGGUGAGUAACGCGUAUCGAACCUGCCUCAUACUCGGGAAUAGCCUUGCGAAAGUAAGAUUAAUGCCCGGUGUUUUCAGAGUCCCGCAUGAGGCUUUGAACAAAGAUUUAUCGGUAUGAGAUGGCGAUGCGUCCCAUUAGCUUGUUGGCGGGGUAACGGCCCACCAAGGCAUCGAUGGGUAGGGGUUCUGAGAGGAAGGUCCCCCACAUUGGAACUGAGACACGGUCCAAACUCCUACGGGAGGCAGCAGUGAGGAAUAUUGGUCAAUGGGCGGAAGCCUGAACCAGCCAAGUAGCGUGCAGGAAGACGGCCCUCCGGGUUGUAAACUGCUUUUAGUUGGGAAUAAAACGGGGCUCGUGAGCCCCCUUGCAUGUACCAUCAGAAAAAGGACCGGCUAAUUCCGUGCCAGCAGCCGCGGUAAUACGGAAGGUCCGGGCGUUAUCCGGAUUUAUUGGGUUUAAAGGGAGCGCAGGCGGACCUUUAAGUCAGCUGUGAAAUACGGCGGCUCAACCGUCGAACUGCAGUUGAUACUGGAGGUCUUGAGUGCACACAGGGAUGCUGGAAUUCAUGGUGUAGCGGUGAAAUGCUCAGAUAUCAUGAAGAACUCCGAUCGCGAAGGCAGGCAUCCGGGGUGCAACUGACGCUGAGGCUCGAAAGUGCGGGUAUCAAACAGGAUUAGAUACCCUGGUAGUCCGCACAGUAAACGAUGAAUACUCGCGGUUUGCGAUACAUUGUAAGCCGCCAAGCGAAAGCGUUAAGUAUUCCACCUGGGGAGUACGCCGGCAACGGUGCAACUCAAAUGAAUUGACG
rnacentral:rRNA from 1 species